CGUCCGACGCCGCCUGCGCUGCGGCGACGGCGUGCACUUCGGCCGAGUAGGACGUCGCGACCCGUUGGGAGUCGCCGACGCGCUAUGGGGGCGCUCGGGAAGCUCGAGGCGGCGCGGCGGGACUCGUGCCCGUCGUCAUUGCGGCCCCUCGAACCCGACGCGUCCUCGCUCGGCGUUCGGCACGCCCGACGCGACAUUCAAAGACAGAACCGUGCGUUCGUUCGGCGGUGCGCUGUGUGG
rnacentral:rRNA from 1 species